UUGCCCAUGUUAAGAUUACUCAUUCAUAAUGUGGCCAAUAUAGGGGGGUAUAAUAAACAGCUCCAUAAAACUCAAAGUAAGAUCUCUGUUUAUGCUUUGAAUCCUGUCUGGAGCAAUACUGUU
ensembl:snoRNA